rnacentral:rRNA from 1 species
AUGGCGGUCUAAGAGUGUAGGCGAUUCCAUAGGUAAAUCCGUGGAUGUUAGCUGAGACUCGAUGGGACAGGGAGACUUCGGUCAAACUGGAUUGAGCGACACUGUACUGCCAAGAAAAGCUUCUAAACGUUGAAUAUAAGGUGACCGUACCAAAACCGACACAGGUAGGAGGGUAGAGUAUACCAAGGCGCGCGAGAGAAAGGUUGUUAAGGAACUCGGCAAAUUAACCCCGUAUCUUCGGAAGAAGGGGUCCUGCCGGAGGCUAGGGACUUGCUCCCGAUGUUUCCAGCAGGCGCAGUGAAGAGGCGAAGGCGACUGUUUAUCAAAAACAUAGCACUAUGCGAACUCGCAAGAGGAUGUAUAUGGUGUGACACGUGACCAAUGCCAAAAGGUUAAGGCAAGGGGUUAGCAUUAGCGAAGCUCUAAACCGAAGCCCUGGUGAAUGUCGGCCGUAACUAUAACGGUCCUAAGGUAGCGAAAUUCCUUGUCGGGUAAGUUCCGACCUGCACGAAUCGUGUAACGAUCUUCGCACUGUCUCAACAACCAUCUCGGUGAAGUUGUAGUUCCGGUGAAAAUGCCGGAUAACCGCGGCAGGACGGAAAGACCCCGUGAACCUUUACUGUGACCUGACAUUGGAUUUUAAUAUUUCAUAUGUAGGAUAGCUGGGAGGCUUUGAAGCAUCUUCGUCAGGAGAUGUGGAGCCAAUGGUGAAAUACCAGUUUUGGCCUAUUGGAAUUCUAACUACGAUCCCCUGAAUCGGGGCGUGGAACAGUGUCUGGGAGUCAGUUUGACUGGGGCGGUUUCCUCCCAAAGAGUAACGGAGGAGCACAAAGGUACCCUCAGUACGGUCAGCAAUCGUGCGAAGAGCGUAUAGGUAUAAGGGUGCUUAACUGCGAGACCUACAAGUCGAGCAGGUGCGAAAGCAGGUCUAAGUGAUCCGGUGGUUGCUAGUGGUAGCGCCAUCGCUUAACGGAUAAAAGGUACUCCGGGGAUAACAGGCUGAUGAUUGCCAAGAGUCCACAUCGACGCAAUCGUUUGGCACCUCGAUGUCGGCUCAUCGCAUCCUGGGGCUGGAGAAGGUCCCAAGGGUUGGGCUGUUCGCCCAUUAAAGCGGUACGCGAGCUGGGUUCAGAACGUCGUGAGACAGUUUGGUCCUUAUCCGCCGUGGUCGCAGGAAGUUUGAAGAGAUUAAUCCUUAGUACGAGAGGACCAGGAUUAACGUGCCUCUGGUGUUCCAGUUGUCGUGCCAACGGCAUCGCUGGGUAGCUACGCACGGGAAGGAUAAGCGCUGAAAGCAUCUAAGUGCCAAGCCCCCUCUAAGAUAAGACUUCCCUUGUUCUUCGGAACACUCAAGGCUCGUUCUAGACUAGGACGUUGAUAGGCUGGACGUGGAAGUACAGUGAUGUAUGAAGCUAACCAGUACUAAUUAGCCGUGAGGCUUGAUCUU